rnacentral:rRNA from 1 species
GGAGAAAAGCAGGGGAUCGCAAGACCUUGCGCUCACUGAGCGGCCGAUGCCUGAUUAGCUAGUUGGUGAGGUAAAGGCUUACCAAGGCGACGAUCAGUAGCUGGUCUGAGAGGACGACCAGCCACACUGGGACUGAGACACGGCCCAGACUCCUACGGGAGGCAGCAGUGGGGAAUUUUGGACAAUGGGGGAAACCCUGUUCCAGCCAUGCCGCGUGAGUGAAGAAGGCCUUCGGGUUGUAAAGCUCUUUCAGCCGGAACGAAACGGUCACGGCUAAUACCUGUGACUACUGACGGUACCGGAAGAAGAAGCACCGGCUAACUACGUGCCAGCAGCCGCGGUAAUACGUAGGGUGCGAGCGUUAAUCGGAAUUACUGGGCGUAAAGCGUGCGCAGGCGGUUUUGUAAGUCAGAAGGGAAAUCCCCGGGCUUAACCUGGGAACUGCGUUCAAAAAAGAAGGCUAGAAGGGC